rnacentral:tRNA from 1 species
GCCUCCCUAGCUCAAUCGGUAGAGCAGCUGACUCUUAAUCAGCGGGUUACAGGUUCGAGUCCUGUGGGGGGUACUA